GCGUGAGGGAUGACGGCCUUCGGGUUGUAAACCUCUUUCAGCAGGGAAGAAGCGAAAGUGACGGUACCUGCAGAAGAAGCGCCGGCUAACUACGUGCCAGCAGCCGCGGUAAUACGUAGGGCGCAAGCGUUGUCCGGAAUUAUUGGGCGUAAAGAGCUCGUAGGCGGCUUGUCACGUCGGGUGUGAAAGCCCGGGGCUUAACCCCGGGUCUGCAUUCGAUACGGGCUAGCUAGAGUGUGGUAGGGGAGAUCGGAAUUCCUGGUGUAGCGGUGAAAUGCGCAGAUAUCAGGAGGAACACCGGUGGCGAAGGCGGAUCUCUGGGCCAUUACUGACGCUGAGGAGCGAAAGCGUGGGGAGCGAACAGGAUUAGAUACCCUGGUAGUCCACGCCGUAAACGGUGGGAACUAGGUGUUGGCGACAUUCCACGUCGUCGGUGCCGCAGCUAACGCAUUAAGUUCCCCGCCUGGGGAGUACGGCCGCAAGGCUAAAACUCAAAGGAAUUGACGGGGGCCCGCACAAGCAGCGGAGCAUGUGGCUUAAUUCGACGCAACGCGAAGAACCUUACCAAGGCUUGACAUACACCGGAAACGUCUGGGAGACAGGCGCCCCCUUGUGGUCGG
rnacentral:rRNA from 1 species